rnacentral:rRNA from 1 species
UGGGGAAUUUUGGACAAUGGGGGAAACCCUGAUCCAGCCAUCCCGGCGUGUGCGAUGAAGGCCUUCGGGUUGUAAAGCACUUUUGGCAGGAAAGAGACGUCAUGGGUUAAUACCCCGUGAAACUGACGGUACCUGCAGAAUAAGCACCGGCUAACUACGUGCCAGCAGCCGCGGUAAUACGUAGGGUGCAAGCGUUAAUCGGAAUUACUGGGCGUAAAGCGUGCGCAGGCGGUUCGGAAAGAAAGAUGUGAAAUCCCAGAGCUUAACUUUGGAACUGCAUUUUUAACUACCGGGCUAGAGUGUGUCAGAGGGAGGUGGAAUUCCCGCGUGUAGGCAGUGAAAUGCGUAGAUAUGCGGGAGGAACACCCGAUGGCGAAGGCAGCCUCCUGGGAUAACACUGACGCUCAUGCACGAAAGCGUGGGGAGCAAACAGGAUUAGAUACCCUGGUAGUCCACGCCCUAAACGAUGUCAACUAGCUGUUGGGGCCUUCGGGCCUUGGUAGCGCAGCUAACGCGUGAAGUUGACCGCCUGGGGAGUACGGUCGCAAGAUUA